CCUACGGGUGGCAGCAGUGAGGAAUAUUGGUCAAUGGCCGGAAGGCUGAACCAGCCAUGCCGCGUGAAGGUCAGUGCCCUAUGGGCGUUAAACUUCUUUUGUGCGGGAGCAAUAAUGGUCACGUGUGGCCAGACGAGAGUACCGUACGAAUAAGCAUCGGCUAACUCCGGGCCAGCAGCCGCGGUAAUACGGGGAAGGCAGGCGUUAUCCGGAUUUUUUGGGUUUAAAGAGUGGCGUAGGUGGCAUAAUAAGUAGCUAGUGAAAUCGGGUGGCUCAAACAUUCAGACUAUUAGCUAAACUGUUAAGCUCGAGACCGUUAGGGGUAACUGGAAUUUCUAGUGUAGGAGUGAAAUCCGUAGAUAUUAGAAGGAACACCGAUAGCGUAGGCAGGUUGCUGGGACGGUUCUGACACUAAGGCACGAAAGCGUAGGGAGCGAACGGGAUUAGAUACCCGUGUAGUC
rnacentral:rRNA from 1 species